rnacentral:rRNA from 1 species
UAUUGGACAAUGGGGGAAACCCUGAUCCAGCAAUGCCGCGUGUGUGAAGAAGGCCUGAGGGUUGUAAAGCACUUUAGGUGGGGAGGAUGGUAGAGCAGGUUAAGAGCUAGUUUUAUUGACGUUACCCGCAGAAUAAGCACCGGCUAACUCCGUGCCAGCAGCCGCGGUAAUACGGAGGGUGCAAGCGUUAAUCGGAAUUACUGGGCGUAAAGAGUGCGUAGGCGGUUGAGUAAGUUAUCUGUGAAAUCCCUGGGCUUAACCUAGGUGGGAAAGAUAAAACUGCUUGACUAGAGUGUGGUAGAGGAUAGUGGAAUUUCCGGUGUAGCGGUGAAAUGCGUAGAGAUCGGAAGGAACACCAGUGGCGAAGGCGGCUAUCUGGACCAACACUGACGCUGAGGCACG